CCUACGGGAGACAGCAGUGGGGAAUAUUGGGCAAUGGGCGCACGCCUGACUCAGCAACGCCGCGUGAAGGAAGAAGGCUUUCGGGUUGUAAACUUCUUUUGUCAGGGACGAAGCAAGUGACGGUACCUGACGAAUAAGCCACGGCUAACUACGGGCCAGCAGCCGCGGUAAUACGUAGGUGGCAAGCGUUAUCCGGCUUUACUGGGUGUAAAGGGCGUGUAGGCGGAACUGCAAGUCAGAUGUGAAAACCACGGGCUCAACCUGUGGCCUGCAUUUGAAACGGUAGUUCUUGAGUACUGGAGAGGCAGACGGAAUUCCUAGUGUAGCGGUGAAAUGCGUAGAUAUUAGGAGGAACACCAGUGGCGAAGGCGGUCUGCUGGACAGCAACUGACGCUGUGGCGCGAAAGCGUGGGGAGCAAACAGGAUUAGAUACCCUGGUAGUC
rnacentral:rRNA from 1 species